ACCCCGUACCGUCCUGUCGUUCUUAUCGAGUAUCUCGCANCUGGCCUGCACGCCGACCGUUGGUGUCACUCUGCGGGACUGCCCGCCUCCCGCGGUCACGACCGCUUCGUCCCAUGCGCUUCGAACGCAUCAGAUCACGGCUUAUUUAUGCGCUUUCCCUCGUUCAGCGAUCACCUCAUCGAUAAUUCCUCGUCUCGCUCCGUUGGUCACCAGAUCCCCAUCGAAAGGAAUGACGGCGCGCACAAACACGCGCGACCCGGUGGCCUAUUUGAAGUACGGCGAGUACUCUACACGUACUGACUUCUUCGACACUCCGGGAUAGGAGUCUUCCUUUGGGGUACAGAGCGCAGCUGGGCAUGGUAUGGUCGGUCGUGUGUGAGACCUGGGUUAAUCCAGCAACGAGCGCAANCUUGAUUUUAGUUGGCAGCAUCUAGUUGGGCACUUUAACGCAAUUGCCGGUGUCAAACCGGAGGCACGGUGGGGAAGANGUCAAAAUCAGCACGCCCAUUAUGUCCAGGGNUACCAANGUGUUACACCCGCUAGGGGACCACGGGUAGGUUGGCACUGAUAUUNGGAAUAUACCACAAACUUCCCAUCAGUUCGGAUCGUAGUCUGCAACUCGACUGCGUGAAGUCGGAAUCGCUAGUAAACGCAGAUCAGCACGCUGCGUUGAAUACGUUCCCGGGCCUUGUACACACCGCCUGUCAAACAAUGGAAGUUGGGAGUAUCUAAAGUCGGUAGCUGAAAGGCGCCGCCUAGGGUAAAACCAAUGACUGGCUGUUAAGUCGUAACAAGGUAA
rnacentral:rRNA from 1 species